rnacentral:rRNA from 1 species
UGGGGAAUAUUGCACAAUGGGCGAAAGCCUGAUGCAGCGACGCCGCGUGAGGGAUGACGGCCUUCGGGUUGUAAACCUCUUUCAGUAGGGACGAAGCGCAAGUGACGGUACCUGCAGAAGAAGCACCGGCUAACUACGUGCCAGCAGCCGCGGUAAUACGUAGGGUGCGAGCGUUGUCCGGAAUUACUGGGCGUAAAGAGCUCGUAGGCGGUUUGUCACGUCGUCUGUGAAAUCCUAGGGCUUAACCCUGGACGUGCAGGCGAUACGGGCUGACUUGAGUCCUACAGGGGAGACUGGAAUUUCUGGUGUAGCGGUGGAAUGCACAGAUAUCAGGAAGAACACCGAUGGCGAAGGCAGGUCUCUGGGUAGUAACUGACGCUGAGGAGCGAAAGCAUGGGUAGCGAACAGG